rnacentral:rRNA from 1 species
GAAUUUUAUAUAAAUUUAUUUAAAUAUUUAAUAUAUAAAUUAUAUAUUAUAUUAUAUUAGUAUAAUCUGUAUUUUAUUUAGAAUAAAAAAUUAUAUUUAAUUGGGAGGAUUAUUAAAUUAAAUAAACUUUAAAUUAAAAUUAUUACAUAAAUAAAUGAAAUAAAAAAUUAUUAUUAUAAGAGUGAUUAGUAAAUUAAUAAAGAAAUAAUUACCUUAGGGAUAACAGCGUAAUAUUUUUGGAUAGAUCAUAUAAAUAAAAAUGAUUGC